rnacentral:lncRNA from 1 species
GGGGGCAACUUUGCAUGUAAGAACCAGCCCUACAAAACAUGCUAGCAUUGGAAAAUACAAUUUUAGGGUGGGGGUACUGGGGAGUGAGCCCAGGGUUUUCACGUUGAGCUACAUCUCCAACCCCUUCUUAACCAUAGAGACAGGAUGCCAUUAAGUGAGUAAGUUGCUCAGGCUGGAGUAGAACUGUCUGCAGAGCUCGACUGCCCUGAGAUCUUCAAAGUGAAUUUCAGUUGGUUGAGAGACAGAAGGUCCUGGUUCCCAAGGAGAUGUAACCGUGAAGUAAAGCCACGGCUGAAAACAGAGCAUGAUGUACAUCUUCAGUGUUCACUAUGCUCCUGUUUGCAAAAGCGGGAGGCUGUGGUAUCUAAGGAGUGA